GGAGAGUUGACUCACACAACCACAGGGUGA
rnacentral:piRNA from 1 species